CAGUAGAUGCCUCUGCACACUUUGGCGUGCACAGUUAUUUUUAAGUGUAUUCAAAACCUUGGCAAGCCAGAACUGAAACUGCUCUCGUUUGCAGCCCCGACCGAUGCACAGCACGCAGUCACAGCAGCCACGCACAGCUCGGAAGCUGCCUCGUGCUUCUGUUGAGGCAAAGAGGUGUUGUGCUGGGGCCUUGGAAUCUCUAUAACCACAUCAAUAGGAAAAGGCAAACAACACCAAUGCCAAGGACCCGAAUAAACACGGAUUAUCUUGUUCGCUGCAACCACUUACAAACGACAGAGGCAGCCCUGAGUUAUGCAGAAGUCGAGCGCCUUGCCCUGUUUCUAUAACCGGGCCUCCUGUUGAGUUGCCUUCUUCCUACCAGACCUGGACCGCAAUGGAAUCAAGGAGGGACGUCAGCCUCAAGAUAUGCUUGGCAAGCUGACGUGGCCAGAGCUGCUGAAAAAACACCAUGACAGCCAUCUCCCCAUGGUCCCCAGAUAUUUAGAAUCUUCCAGUUCUACUGAGCAGGUAAAAUGAUUCCCUAUUGUGUUUGUGUUGCAGCUAUUCUGCUUCCAUCCCGAAAUGCAGAUGGCUUUUCUCAGAACUUGAAAAUGUUGUUCUCUAAUCAACUGAAUUGAGCUUUGUAUUUUGUGAAGUGGCAGGGGCUAAGUACAGUGUGUCUGUAAUGACACAUCUGUCUUCUAAGAAGCUGUAUAGAACGGAGCCAGAAGACCUUUGGGCUCAUCUGAAAACACUGCAUUCAAAUGAAAACUGAACUAAAAAUAGUAAUUACUGGAAAACAAAGGGAACAACCUGACCCCACAGUUGGCAGACGUAGUACAACAGGAGCAAUAUGCAACUGUAUGCAUAUUUCUAAACCAUACUUGAGAGCAGCUUCUAGGAGCUUCCAAGUAGAGAUGCGUGCAUAGCUCUGACAGGAGAGAGGGCCCAAACAGCCAGCCAGUUUAACAUAUUGCAGCUUAUCCAGCUGCAAAAGCUUGCAAAUGGACAAGACCUGAAUCUUUUCCCCUACGAAGACUUGAACAAACAGCAAAGCUGUAAAUAACCAUGAUGAGGUAAGGCUGGGUCAAUUUAAGAAACAAAAGGCUUUUUUUUUUUCCCUUUGUGUACAAAUUUCUCCUCUGCUUUUCAUGGGGGGAGCGGGGGGAGCAUUCUCUAAUGGUGUUUUACUGAGGGAAAGCAUUCCAACAGUUACCAUAGACAUUUGCACGUGGCUAACUUCUUUUGCCAUAUGUUUGAUAUGAAAUUUGGAAUGGAAGUUUGGACCACAAUUUUAUGGUCGUUUGUAACAGGUUUGAGCACCACUGGAUCAUUUAGCAUGACAAAUUCAAUCCAGAUCAGGCCUGGGCACACAAUUAUUUUUCAGCCAGACUGCAUAAUGUGGCAUUUAUGCUGGCCGUGGGAAGACAGACAAUAUCUAAUCUGGCAUAAAGCCUACCAAUACAGAGCUAAUGUCAGAACUUUCUUAAACAGCUUUCAAUGGGAUCAGCACUUCGGGUUGUGUGGUCAAGCAUUUUAUAUCCAGGAGCCCUAGAGCCAGAUUUCCUGCAUUGUCAACCUGUGACCAUUUUGGCAGCAUUCAGACAUUCUCCAUCAAGCUUUCUCUUGUUAUGCCUCCAUGCAAGCCCUUUGUCCUGUCGGAGAUUCUUGCUGCAGUCCAUAAGAGCACUAUAGGUAUGAAGCAUUUGGGAUCUCUCUAAACACAACAGCCUCUCACUGUUGCUCCCCAGGUCCUGCAGAACUGUGCGUGCAUCUGAUUGCUCUUAAAUCUGCAGAUACAAAUAUCACAGUUGUUCAACUGGACCCACGGAUGCUGCUUGCACAGUUACCCUAUCAUUGCCCAUGCAGCCGUAGGAACUGUCAGCAUUGAUCUCCCAGUCCAUCUUUCUAAUGAUCAUUAGAACAAUGAUUCCUGAAAGGAGCCAUGCUUCUGCACGUCUCCAUAUUCCAGGACUCGGGCUGGAAAAGACUGUGCUUGCUUUCAUUCUCAGAAGGUGCUGUUUCCUGAGAAAACCAAGAGCGCCAGGCUGUCAGUCACUGAGAAACCUUGAAGAAUCUCCUCUCUGUGCUGUUCUACCUCCUGACACUUCACAUCCAGUCACUUUUACCAAAGUAAUCCUCCUAAUUUACAACUGCAGGCUGGAGUUUCUCUUUGGGAGACACUCAUUCUGGAAAAGUUGCUUAUUUUAGAACCCACAGCCUCUAGGAAGAUAUUUUUCCCUAAUCCCAAACUAAAUGAUAUCAUACUUGGCUAGUGCUGUAACCAUGGUACUGAAGUUAUUUAUGACUGAAAUUAAUGCUAUAGUUAGCAACACUGGGGCAGGGUUCCUUCUAUGCUACUGUCCAACUGCCUCCCUCCCCCAGCCUGAGGCUACACUGCAAAGCAAGACACAGAGUCUCCAGAGGGUCUUUAAUUUGCAGUAAACAAUGUCAGCCUUUGCUGAUCCCCAAAACUUGGCAACGCACAACUGGAUGCGCACAAAGAUGCAUCUUCUAAACAAAACAAAGCACUUGGCUGUGUUGUCAUUGCUCUUAACUCUGUUUCGAGAUUUGUUUUUAUUUAUUUUAGCUCUUAAAUUCCUUGAAGGGACCUGGAACUCCAGCGUGCAGAGCCAGGACUGGCAGCAGCAGGGAGAGCUCAGUUGUACGCCACUCAUCAGCUCUGAGCUGAGGGAAUCACCACGAGGGGAAGAGGAGAGGUCAGCAUUUGUGCCUGGGGACACUGUUAGUCACCUCUGAGAAACUGAUAGCCUGCCUGUAUGCAAGCUAUCUGGGAGCCAAACCAAUAUUAUUCCAGUCUGAUCCCUCUGCAAAGAGAUCUCAGAGAAGGUUGGGAGGAAUCCAGCAAAGUGGGAAACAGAAGAAACAAAACCACGCAGUGCCGAGUCCCUCCUGGUCAAAGAUCAGGCAGCUCCCUAUUUCCACAGCACAGAUGAGAGGGAACAGCUCAUAGACACAUCCUGAACUUCAGUCAGACCCAGACACCUCUGUGCCCUUGUGGGGCAUCGCAUCAGCAGCUCCUGCAUGCCUUCCUCUGAUCGUCCCCCAAGUCAGAGAAUCAUAGAACAAGAUUGCAAAACAGACACUGCAAACAGAAAAAUAAAGGAUGAAACAGGGAGGAGAAAAGAAAACAGAAGAGCACAGCAAGAAGAGAAGCAGCAUGGGGAAGUGGUGGUGUGCUGUGCUGGGAAGAGUACAAGGAUAUCAGCCCACCUACUGAUUCAUACAGGGGGCAGUUCAAGUGAAUUUAGACAUCACAGGCAGUAAAGCAGGCAAGCAAGUCUCUGCUGACCACACCACUACCGUGGUUCCAUUGGAUGGAACAUCGAUUUCAUGUCACUUCUGCUACCUGGAUUAACCUUUCAAUGCCUUUCUUUGAAUGCCAGUUGGCACAGCAGUCCAAUUCUGCUCACCCCAGGAGUGAAGAACCAAAUGCCUACCCCACGGUUUGGGGCUUUUGGGAUAGACCGGCCUUAGGCCCAAUCCAAUUUACAGCUGAAGUCUCAAGGGCUUCACUGAAGUAGUCAAAUCAUUCUGGGAAAACGUACUGGGGGGCAAUGCAGUAUUUAUUUUAUGCCUCAGUCUUACUUUAUUUUACAGCCUAAACCUCCAAUUCCCAGAGCCACGAUUCUCCCAUUGCCUUCAUGGAAUUUACAUUGGAGUCACUUAACAGGGCUUUGCUAUGUCUAAAUCAUUGCCUUAUUUUUUGCUCUAUUUUUUUGUUUGUUUGUUUUUAUUUUAUUUUUUCUUCUUUUGACCACAGGCAAAGGAAAUAAAUCAUCUGAUAUCCUGCCAGCAAACUGCCAUCAGCACUCUGAAACUGGAGGCGUUUCUCCUGCCCCAAAAGAGCACUAAAAAAAUAUAUAUCUAGCUGAUAACUUGGACAGGGUUCAGGUAUGUUUGUGUGCAUACCAGCAGUUAAACUGAUUUCUUCCACUAUCUUAUCUGUCCAUUUCAAGAGGAAGAAGUUUGGCAGGCGAGCUACUCUUGGAACGCACUCAGUAAACCAUGGAUAGGAGAACCAAGGAGCAUAAAUAGAAAUAACCAUAGGUGUAGCAGCUGGGAGCCUGACUUCUGGCUUCUAUUCCAGCUCUACCCAUGACUCACUCGAUGACUUUGGAAAGCCACUUCGCCUCUCCCUGCUCCAGCAUUCUCCCAGGCACAGCUCACCCAUUUCACAGGUACCCCAGGCAGAGGAACCCCACUGCUCCCAGCUGGGUAAGCGUCUCUGGAGGAAGAACCUCAUCCCUCUUCCUCUGCCAGCCCCACGCCAUCCAUCCCCACAGCUCAUGGCACCCAGAGGGGAGGUGGCAACUUGAACCGAGUGCAUCUUGUGAAGCUUUUUGGGAUCCGUCAAGGAAAGGGAAAGCACUUGAACAAAAUGUUGCUAAUUAUAGCUUGACAGCACAUAACACAUUCCUGCUCUGGACAGAGCUCUGCUAUCAGCCAACUCAAUUAUACAUUAUCUUUGCCCAACUCCCUCCUUAUUAAUUGUGACCAAAGCACUGAAUAAAGCCAAAUUGCUGCCUG